GGAGAGAUGGCUGAGCUGGUCGAAGGCGCACGACUGGAAAUCGUGUAGGCGUUGAUAGCGUCUCGAGGGUUCGAAUCCCUCUCUCUCCGCCA
rnacentral:tRNA from 1 species